ensembl:antisense Gm13031 predicted gene 13031
GAGUGGGAGCGAGGCAACGGGGCCAUAGGCUUCUCCCGUUUCACGAGCAGUCUCUAUGGAAUUAACUCCUGGAGCGGACAGUCACGAGCCACCCCUGCUCCAGCUGGACCCGUGGUGCACACAGCUUAGGUCAGCUCAGCUGCUGGGACUUAGCAAGUGGCCCAGAGCCUUCUGGGGGACUGUGACCCACCCAGCGUCUCUAGCAUACUCUCAGAUUAGCAGUUCGUGUGAUCUUCCAGGGGAAAGACUUGGGGGUACAGGAAGGACCCAGAGACCGCAGCGGAGGAGGAAAAGGAAAAGGCAGUCAGGGCACCAUGUGCCACCACUUGAAGGCGAACGGCUUCCUGCGGACAUUGGUGCCACAGUGAACCUCUCCCAAGAACUUGUGGGAUCAUGGAGGGAUAGUCAGAGGUCAGCCCCAGUGAGGCGUUGGCUCAGCUUCAGCGGGUCCUGCUUCAGAGAGUGGCUGGGUUGUACCAAUUUCUCUGACCUUCAGCCAUGAGGGUACCUGCACAUACUGACCAACAGAGCUAGCACAGCUGGAGCCCUGAUCAGCCUGUGCCUGAAGUCCACACAACCAUAGGACUUUGAACAAAUUCUGCCCAGCCCUGACCAAGGCCCUGUGUUGAGACUCCUGCCCACUUCCCUCACUUCCGCUGCCUGACUCAGUGGCCCACUGUGACCCACAACCUGACAGCAAGGUCAGGACAGAUUCUAAAGAUAAAGUCCGCCCUGUCUAGGCAAACAACUCCGGGAGAGAGAAACUUGGGGUUUGCACGCAACCCAAGUUAAGUUGCACCUAACUUUUCCCUCCCCUCCCCUUCUAUAUAAACCCCAAGAACCCCUCCCCCUUCCACAGACACCCCUUUCUUGCUGUGUCUGCCCCUCCCUGUUUUAAGUAAACAGUCCAGUCUGUUGAGGUCA